rnacentral:rRNA from 1 species
UAUAAAAGAGUGCGUAAUAGCUCACUGGUCGAGUGACUCUGCGCGGAAAAUGUAACGGGGCUAAGCGUAUAACCGAAGCUUAGGAUGCAGCAAUGCGUGGUAGGGGAGCGUCGAAUACGGGGCGAAGUCGCAGCGGAAGCAGCGGUGGACUGUAUUCGAGUGAGAAUGCCGGAAUGAGUAGCGAGAAUUAUGUGGGAAUCAUAAUGGCCGAAAAUCUAAGGUUUCUUGGGGAAGGUUCGUCCGCCCAAGGUAAGCCGGGAGCUAAGGCGAGGCCGAGAGGCGUAGUCGAUGCACAUACGGUUGAAAUUCCGUAGCCACCGAAAUUUAAACUAGAGGGACACUUGAAACUAUCUGGACCCGGGCGUUGGUUGACCCGGGCGAAAGGGACCGAAAUCAAGUAGGGAAGUCAGAGAACGUCGAGGCGAGAAAAGCUCUAGCGUAUAAUAAGGUGCCCGUACCGCAAACCGACACAGGUAGAUGAGGAGAGGAUCCUAAGGCCAACGGGAGAAGGGUUGUUAAGGAACUCGGCAAAAUUACCCCGUAACUUCGGGAUAAGGGGAGCUCCCUAAGGGGAGCCGCAGAGAAUAGGCCCAAGCGACUGUUUACCAAAAACACAGGUCUAUGCUAAAUCGAAAGAUGACGUAUAUGGGCUGACGCCUGCCCGGUGCUGGAAGGUUAAGAGGAGAGCUUAGCGCAAGCGAAGGUUUGAAUUGAAGCCCCAGUAAACGGCGGCCGUAACGAUAACGGUCCUAAGGUAGCGAAAUUCCUUGUCAGGUAAGUUCUGACCCGCACGAAUGGCGUAACGAUUUGGGCGCUGUCUCAACAGCCCACCCGGCGAAAUUGUAGUACUGGUGAAGAUGCCAGUUACCCGCAACUAGACGGAAAGACCCCGUGGAGCUUUACUGUAGCUUAAUACUGAGGAUUGGUAAAUCAUGUACAGGAUAGGUGGGAGACAUGGAAACAUUGGCGUCAGCCAGUGCGGAGUCACCCUUGGGAUACCACCCUUGAUUUACUGGUUUUCUAACCUGCGGCCCUGGAUCGGGUCGGGGGACACUGUUAGGUGGGCAGUUUGACUGGGGCGGUCGCCUCCUAAAAGGUAACGGAGGCGCUCAAAGGUUCGUUCAGCACGGACGGAAAUCGUGCAGUGAGUGUAAACGCAGAAACGAGCCUAACUGCGACACCGACGGGUGGAGCAGUAACGAAAGUUGGAGUUAGUGAUCCGGCGGUAUGCAAGUGGAAGUGCCGUCGCUCAACGGAUAAAAGCUACCCUGGGGAUAACAGGCUGAUCUCCCCCAAGCGUCCACAGCGACGGGGAGGUUUGGCACCUCGAUGUCGGCUCGUCACAUCCUGGGGCUGUAUUCGGUCCCAAGGGUUCGGCUGUUCGCCGAUUAAAGUGGCACGCGAGCUGGGUUCAGAACGUCGUGAGACAGUUCGGUCCCUAUCUGUUGCGGGCGUAAGAGAUUUGAAGGGAGCUGUCCUUAGUACGAGAGGACCGGGAUGGACAGACCUCUGGUGCACCAGUUGUCCUGCCAAGGGCACAGCUGGGUAGCUACGUCUGGACGAGAUAAACGCUGAAAGCAUCUAAGCGUGAAACUCCCCCUAAGAUAAGAUCUCUCAUCCAUUAUGGAGUAAGGCUCGACGUAGACUAUGUCGUUGAUAGGUCGGAGGUGGAAGUGCCGUGAGGCAUGGAGCUGACCGAUACUAAUAAGCCGAGGGCUUGACU